rnacentral:misc_RNA from 1 species
GAAAUGCGAUAAGUAAUGUGAAUUGCAUAAUUCAGUGAAUCAUCGAAUCUUUGAACGCACAUUGCGCCUAUUAGUAUUCUAGUAGGCAUGCCUGUUCGAGCGUCAUUUCAACCCUCAAGCCCUGGUUGCUUGGUGUUGGGAGCUUGCUGUGAAACGCAACUCCUCAAAGCUAGCUGGCAGAGUCGGGAUGCACUCUAAGCGUAGUAAACUUGAUAGUCUCGCUUCUGCAGUUGUCCCGGCCGUCUUGCCAUAAAAGCCCAAACUUUUUUUGUUUUCUAUGGUUGACCUCGGAUCAGGUAGGAAUACCCACUGAACUUAAGC